UGGGGAAUUUUGGACAAUGGGCGAAAGCCUGAUCCAGCAAUGCCGCGUGUGUGAAGAAGGCCUUCGGGUUGUAAAGCACUUUUGUCCGGAAAGAAAUCCUUGGCUCUAAUACAGUCGGGGGAUGACGGUACCGGAAGAAUAAGCACCGGCUAACUACGUGCCAGCAGCCGCGGUAAUACGUAGGGUGCAAGCGUUAAUCGGAAUUACUGGGCGUAAAGCGUGCGCAGGCGGUUUGCUAAGACCGAUGUGAAAUCCCCGGGCUCAACCUGGGAACUGCAUUGGUGACUGGCAGGCUAGAGUAUGGCAGAGGGGGGUAGAAUUCCACGUGUAGCAGUGAAAUGCGUAGAGAUGUGGAGGAAUACCGAUGGCGAAGGCAGCCCCCUGGGCCAAUACUGACGCUCAUGCACGAAAGCGUGGGGAGCAAACAGGAUUAGAUACCCUGGUAGUCACGCCCUAAACGAUGUCAACUAGUUGUUGGGGAUUCAUUUCCUUAGUAACGUAGCUAACGCGUGAAGUUGACCGCCUGGGGAGUACGGUCG
rnacentral:rRNA from 1 species